rnacentral:rRNA from 1 species
UAGGGCAUAUUGGGCAAUGGGUGCAAGCCUGACCCAGCCAUGCCGCGUGCCGGCAGACGGCCCUUUGGGUUGUAAACGGCUUUUAUACAGGAACACAAACAGGGAUGCGUCCUUGACUGAGGGUACUGUAUGAAUCAGCACCGGCUAACUCCGUGCCAGCAGCCGCGGUAAUACGGAGGGUGCAAGCGUUGUCCGGAUUGAUUGGGUUUAAAGGGUACGUAGGCGGGCUAUUAAGUCUGGGGUGAAAGCUUUCGGCUCAACCGGAAAAUUGCCCGGGAUACUGGUAGUCUUGAGUACAGUAGAGGUGGGCGGAAUUCAUGGUGUAGCGGUGAAAUGCAUAGAUACCAUGAGGAACACCGAUAGGGAAGCCAGCUCACUAGACUGUCACUGACGCUGAGGUACGAAAGCGUGGGGAGCGAACAGGAUUAGAUACCCGUGUAGUCC